rnacentral:rRNA from 1 species
AGGGAAUCUUCCGCAAUGGACGAAAGUCUGACGGAGCAACGCCGCGUGAGUGAUGAAGGUUUUCGGAUCGUAAAGCUCUGUUGCCAGGGAAGAACGUCUUCUGGAGUAACUGCCAGGAGAGUGACGGUACCUGAGAAGAAAGCCCCGGCUAACUACGUGCCAGCAGCCGCGGUAAUACGUAGGGGGCAAGCGUUGUCCGGAAUUAUUGGGCGUAAAGCGCGCGCAGGCGGCUGUUUAAGUCUGGUGUUUAAUCCUGGGGCUCAACCCCGGGUCGCACUGGAAACUGGACGGCUUGAGUGCAGAAGAGGAGAGUGGAAUUCCACGUGUAGCGGUGAAAUGCGUAGAGAUGUGGAGGAACACCAGUGGCGAAGGCGACUCUCUGGGCUGUAACUGACGCUGAAGCACGAAAGCAUGGGUAGCAAAC